rnacentral:tRNA from 2 species
UCCUGGUUAGCUCAGUUGGUAGAGCGCUACACUUCAAAUGAAGGGGUACCAGGUUCGAUACUGGGAUUAGGCG